rnacentral:rRNA from 1 species
UGGGGAAUUUUGGACAAUGGGCGAAAGCCUGAUCCAGCAAUGCCGCGUGUGUGAAGAAGGCCUUCGGGUUGUAAAGCACUUUUGUCCGGAAAGAAAUCCUUGGCUCUAAUACAGUCGGGGGAUGACGGUACCGGAAGAAUAAGCACCGGCUAACUACGUGCCAGCAGCCGCGGUAAUACGUAGGGUGCAAGCGUUAAUCGGAAUUACUGGGCGUAAAGCGUGCGCAGGCGGUUUGCUAAGACCGAUGUGAAAUCCCCGGGCUCAACCUGGGAACUGCAUUGGUGACUGGCAGGCUAGAGUAUGGCAGAGGGGGGUAGAAUUCCACGUGUAGCAGUGAAAUGCGUAGAGAUGUGGAGGAAUACCGAUGGCGAAGGCAGCCCCCUGGGCCAAUACUGACGCUCAUGCACGAAAGCGUGGGGAGCAAACAGGAUUAGAUACCCUGGUAGUCCACGCCCUAAAACGAUGUCAACUAGUUGUUGGGGACUUCAUUUCCUUAGUAACGUAGCUAACGCGUGAAGUUGACCGCCU